CUCUAAUGGAUCCUAACCAGAGGGACAUCUGAAUGACGCAGAACGGGAUAUAGGGUCCUGCGUUUUUAGAGGGCUCUAAACUAUAAUUUAUGAUUUUGAAAGCGUUUUGAAAAUUUGAAAGUUUUGAAAUACUUUUUUUUAGAAAUUUUCGUAAUUAAAAAAAUAAAUAAAUAAAAAUUAAAGAAAAGGUAGAAGAUAACGACGGUGGACACACUUGGCGACAACAACAAUAAUGGGAGGUGAAGGAAGUGCGGAUGGAGCCGGCGCUGCUAUCAGCAGAUGGCGUUGAAGGUGCUGGUAGCAGGUGUAUCGAGUUCUUGAUAACAUUGGUAGUGGGCGACGGUGAUGUGCUAGCAGCAAGCGUAUUAAUAGUGCUGAGUUUCAAGUCGGAGAAGAAAUUGCAAAAGGAAAGGAUAAAGAUAAAGGGACUCGCUCCGGUCGAUGCAUUGCGAAGGAAUAUUAGAGAACACAUCUCAUAGGAAAUAAUAAAAUCCUUCUUCAUUAAUUCUUUAUCGUCCAAUGGAGAGAAUAUUUAAAGAGCUUUUCCCGACAAUGAUAAGCUCAAAACAAAAAUUCUAACAAUAAAAUCUCUACCAAAAUUAACAACUUUCCUAACAACUUUUAGAUAAAAUCCUAACAAUAAAAUCAACAACUUUUAUAUAAAAUCUCUACCAAAUUAACAACUUUCCUAACAACUUGAUGAACUAAAUCGGUUUAAUCCGAUCAACAUAGGUUCAAGUCUGUUCUGCAUCAUUCGCUUCCGCUGCGCAAGAUCUCAUCCUCGAGAUUAGUUGGAUUUGUAAGAAGAUAGAAAACAACCAAGUGUGUAGAAUAAAGUGAUGCAGCCCAAUGCCUGCAUGUCGAACCACUUGUAUCAUCUGAGCUUCCGGUUUGGUAUUGAAGUAGGAAGAACAACUGACAAGUUCAUGAGAUAUCGUAAGGUUUGCUACCAAUAAGAAAUAUGCUUUCGGUGAAAUUUGAAGCUCUAGUAUAGUGGACUCAUAUUGCUGGGGCAAUAAGAGUAACUCGAUCUGUAAUCUUACCUCCUCAACACACUGAUUUACCUUAUCUUCAUGAAUCAACUCUGGAUUUUCUAAAUCUAACUCGGGCUCGGCCACAUCUGGAACUUCUUGGCAAUCGGAUAGUGUGGAUGAAACUGGAUCAGAAUUGUCGACUUCCAACUGUGCUAUAGGUUGUGUACUCUGUUGAGCAACUAGGGUUUCCAGUUGAACUUUUAGUUGGAUCCAUUGAUACUCAUCUCUGACAUUACCCAUCCAUCGAAAAUCAUCUUCAGCAAUUUUACCACCAUUUUCAAUAUCUUUCAACCUUCUUUCUUCUUCCUCCAAAAAUAUUAUGUUAAAAUCAAGAUGAGAUAUUUGCCUUUGUCCAUACCACGAUCUCAAGUCAUUUAGUAUUUCCAUCCGAAUAUCAUUUCUUUUUCUCUCAAAAUAUGACCUCUGAUCGUACAGCCAUUCAUCAAACUCUACUCAUGCCAUCUCACAUAUUUCUUUUAAAGACUCAAUAUGAAUUCCUUUUCUUCUACCAUACUUUUGAAAAACUUUUUUAAGACAUUCUUUGGCAUCCAUAAUAUUUUUUUCCUUUUUUUUUUACACCACUCUUUUUUAUAAUAUUUUUUCUCACCUUUUUUUUUUCAAUUUCCACCCGGUUUUCGUCCACAAGCCCAAAAUUUUUAACGAAAUAAAACCAUCAAAUAACCUAAGCUCUGAUACCAAAUCUGACGCAGGACGAGAUAUAGGGUCCUACAUUUUUAGAGGGCUCUAAAAUAUAAUUUAUGAUUUUGAAAGCGUUUUGAAAUUUUGAAAGUUUUGAAAUACUUUUUUUUUAGAAAUUUUCAUAAUUAAAAAAAAUAAAUAAAAAUUAAAGAAAAGGUAGAACACAACGACGGUGGACACACUUGGCGACGGCAACAAUAAUGGGAGGUGAAGUGCGGAUGGAGCCGGCGCUGCUAUCAGCAAAUAGCGUUGAAGGUGCUGGCAGCAGGUGUAUCGAGUUCUUGAUAACGUUGGUUGUGGGCGACAGUGAUGUGCUGGCAGCAAGCAUAUUAAUGGUGCUGGGUUUCAAGCCACAGAAGAAAUUGCAAAAGGAAAGAAUAAAGAUAAAGGGACUCGCUCCCUACGGACUCACUCCGGUCGACGCAUAAAUGCGAAGGAAUAUUAGAGAACACAUCUCAUAGGAAAUAAUAAAAUCCUUCUUCAUUAAUUCUUCAUCGUCCAAUGCAGAGAAUAUUUAAAGAGCUUUUCCCGACAGUGAUAAGCUCAAAACAAAAAUUCUAACAAUAAAAUCUCUACCAAAUUAACAACUUUCCUAACAACUUUUAGAUAAAAUNAUUCUAACAAUAAAAUCUCUACCAAAUUAACAACUUUCAUAACAACUUCUAGAUAAAAUCCUAACAAUAAAAUCAACAACUUUUAUAUAAAAUCUCUACCAAAUUAACAACUUUCAUAACAACUUCUAGAUAAAAUCCUAACAAUAAAAUCAACAACUUUUAUAUAAAAUCUCUACCAAAUUAACAACUUUCCUAACAACUUGAUGAACUAAAUCGGUUUAAUCCGAUCAACAUAGGUUCAAAUCUGUUCUGCAUCACUGAAUAUAUUAGGACUUUUACAUGAGUAACUUAUGAAAGUUGAGCUUUGCAAGGAUAUAUCUGCAAUUCACCAUGUUUGCAGGAACGUGUAUGCAAUUAACCCAAUUAUUUAAAUUUACAUCUUUACAUAGAGAUGACUGCUUAAUUCCACAUAGAUCGUCGCGCUUGAUUAUAUGGUAUAUUAUCAUUUGCAGAUACAAGAUUUAUUUAACAAUGUUGACAUAAGUAUUGCUGGUAUUGUGAGAAAGUCAUAUAUUCCCGAUAUUACAUCCAUAUUUUUUGUUCUUUUAUUUUUAAAAAAAAUAUCUGAUCAAAAUUUGUUUAGGAGAUCGAUUUUUGUUCCCCUAAUUCACCGAAAGCUUCGCAGUGCGAUAAAUUUUGACAAAAUAUUUUGCGAAGAAAAAAUGGAUGUCAGUGGUGGGCUGUGGGCUCGAUCAAUUAAAAAUU
rnacentral:lncRNA from 1 species